AUACUGUAUUAUAUAUAUUAGUAUUCUCUGGCAGCAACAGGCUCUCAUUAAGAAUUAAAGAUGUCCAGCUUAAUUUGAAAAUGUAAAAUCCAAUGACUUCAAACUGAUUUUUUUUUCUUAAUUAUUAUUAUUAACUUCCAUUGAUUACCUGUUAUGUGAACCCAAUAAAGUUUCACAAAUCCAAACGUGAUGUUUAUUGUAUGUACUUAUGUGCAUAAAUAUUAGUUUUUAAAUGGUUUUACUUUUAAAAAGACAUUUUGAUUUUUUUGGAUAAAUUUUAACCAUCUGGUUAACUAAUGCAAGUAUUAAUGUGGCACCACUAGCAAGAGUCAAGUGCACGUCAGUAAUUUAAAUAUAGGGUUAUAUACAGUGCGUUUAUAAUGAUUGUACUUGUGUUGCUUUAUCAUGAUAACGUACUUUUGCUAUGAUACACUUUCAGUAGUCUACUGCUAGCGUCUUUUUGGUGAAAAGUUUGAAACAUUCAUAAAACUCCUUUUGUCUCACCUUUUUUGGUGGCGGGAUGCAAUCGUUCAUUCGGUUCUCUGUGUAGUCAGAGCGCCGUUUAGGUUGCCGUAGUUCUACGAUAUAAAUAUCUUGAGCCACUCCUCUUGACUGGAUUUGUUCUUUAUUCAUUCUACGAUGAUGAAGACCCUGAAUGAAGAACCUUUUCUUCCUGUUUGGAAACCACCAUGAUGUUACCAUCAGACACAAGAAAUUGAUGAAAUGGAGCUGCACUUCACAUGGGUUGUGACCUAGAGUCUUAAAACAGUACUGAACAGAGGUCAAAGGUCGACUCAACAGCAAGCUGGAGUAGUAAGUAAAACACACACACACACUUGUUGCUCCUCGAGGCGUUGCAGCACAGCUGAAUGUGCUGUGUCUGUGUCAUGAGGAAGCAAAGAGCAGCAGGGCACUAGAAACUACACUUUGUACCCAUAAUUCCACAGUGCAAAGAAUGAGUGACAGCCCCUACAAACCAGCAUGAGACCCUGUUUCAAGCAGGGAUAUGAAUCCUGUAAGAUUGGUCCUUAACCUCCUCUCAAAGACCCUACAAACAGUGAAAGUUUAAAUAAUAGACCAAUUUUUCCCAUUUCCAUAAACCUGUACAUGGCCCUUAUGCUAGUAUCUGCACUAUUUAUAUUUAUAGUAAUAUUUUAAGAUGAACACUUACUGGACUGGAGCAGCAUAUAUUUACUUGAUUACCCAUACAUAAUUAAAAAAAAAAAAAAAGCAUGUUAAAAUGUAUCAAAUAUGAUCAUCAGGUUUUUGAGAAAUUUUUAUUUGUUCAUCUCUCAGUCAUCAUUGGAUUGCAUUGCAUAUUUUGAUCAUAAAACAAAGCAUUAAUGUGACCCUGGACCAUAAUCAUAAGUAGCAAGGGGGUAUAUUUAUAGCAAUAGCCAAAAACACAUUGUAUGGGUCAAAAUUAUAGAUCUUUCUUUUUUUGCCAAAAAUCAUUGGGAUAUUAAGUAAAGAACAUUUUCCAUAAAGAUAUUUAGUAAAUUUCCUACUGUAAAUAUAUUAAAACUUUAUUUUUGAUUAAUAAUAUGCAUUGCUAAGAACUUAAUUUGGCGAUUUUCUCAAUAUUUUGAUUUUUUUUUUUCUUGGCACCCUCAGAUUCCAAUAUCAUCCAUCUUACA
rnacentral:lncRNA from 12 species